CGGCUGUCGUCAGCUCGUGUCGUGAGAUGUUGGGUUAAGUCCCGCAACGAGCGCAACCCUUGUCAUUAGUUGCUACGAAAGGGCACUCUAAUGAGACUGCCGGUGACAAACCGGAGGAAGGUGGGGAUGACGUCAGGUCCUCAUGGCCCUUAUGGGUAGGGCUACACACGUCAUACAAUGGCCGGGACAGAGGGCUGCCAACCCGCGAGGGGGAGCUAAUCCCAGAAACCCGGUCGUAGUCCGGAUCGCAGUCUGCAACUCGACUGCGUGAAGUCGGAAUCGCUAGUAAUCGCGGAUCAGCUUGCCGCGGUGAAUACGUUCCCGGGUCUUGUACACACCGCCCGUCACACCAUGGGAGCGGGUUCUGCCAGAAGUAGGUAGCCUAACCGUAAGGAGGGCGCUUACCACGGCAGGGUUCGUGACUGGGGUGAAGUCGUAACAAGGUAGCCGUAUCGGAAGGUGCGGCUGGAUCACCUCCUUUCUAGAAAAUGCAUGAUGCAAGCAUCAGGCACCCACACUUA
rnacentral:rRNA from 1 species